CCUACGGGAGGCAGCAGUGAGGAAUAUUGGUCAAUGGGCGCAGGCCUGAACCAGCCAAGUAGCGUGAAGGAUGACUGCCCUAUGGGUUGUAAACUUCUUUUAUAUGGGAAUAAAGUUUUCCACGUGUGGAAUUUUGUAUGUACCAUAUGAAUAAGGAUCGGCUAACUCCGUGCCAGCAGCCGCGGUAAUACGGAGGAUCCGAGCGUUAUCCGGAUUUAUUGGGUUUAAAGGGAGCGCAGACGGGAGAUUAAGUCAGUUGUGAAAGUUUGCGGCUCAACCGUAAAAUUGCAGUUGAUACUGGUUUCCUUGAGUGCAGUUGAGGCAGGCGGAAUUCGUGGUGUAGCGGUGAAAUGCUUAGAUAUCACGAAGAACUCCGAUUGCGAAGGCAGCCUGCUAAGCUGCAACUGACAUUGAGGCUCGAAAG
rnacentral:rRNA from 1 species